CAGUAGCCACGGUAAUACGUAGGGUGCAAGUGUUGUCCGGAGUUAUUGGGCGUAAAGAGCUCGUAGGCGGCCUGUCGCGUCGGCUGUGAAAACUCAGGGCUCAACCCUGAGCCUGCAGUCGAUACGGGCAGGCUAGAGUCCGGCAGGGGAGACUGGAAUUCCUGGUGUAGCGGUGAAAUGCGCAGAUAUCAGGAGGAACACCGGUGGCGAAGGCGGGUCUCUGGGCCGGAACUGACGCUGAGGAGCGAAAGCGUGGGGAGCGAACAGGAUUAGAUACCCCUGUAGUCCCUGUCUCUUAUAC
rnacentral:rRNA from 1 species